rnacentral:lncRNA from 11 species
GUCAUGUCUGACCUUGGGGGUUGGUGCUCAUCUCCAUUUCUAGGCCGAAGAGCCGGCAUUGUCUCCAAGAUCAUGUGGCCGGCAUGACUGCAUGGAGCGCCAUUAGGCAAGUAAGCACUUGCAAUUUAACCUAGCCAUUGAUGAGGACCUGAAAACAAUAUCUGAGCAAAUCAAGAAUGGGGCAGUGGUUCUCAACCUGGCACCUCCAGAUGUUUUUGGCCUACAACUCAAGCCAGUGCAAUUAACUGCAAUGAAUCACUCUGACCAGGAGGUCAUGAGUUCGAGCCCCGCUCGGAGCCUAUGUUUGUUUGUCUUUGUUCUAUGUUAAAAGGCAUUGAAUGUUUGCCUAUAUGUGUAAUGUGAUCCGCCCUGAGUCCCCUUCGGGGUGAGAAGGGCGGAAUAUAAAUGCUGUAAAUAAUAAAUAAAUAAAUAAAUAAAUAAA